CCUACGGGCGGCAGCAGUGGGGAAUAUUGGGCAAUGGGCGCAAGCCUGACCCAGCAACGCCGCGUGAAGGAAGAAGGCUUUCGGGUUGUAAACUUCUUUUCUCAGGGACGAAGAAAGUGACGGUACCUGAGGGAUAAGCCACGGCUAACUACGUGCCAGCAGCCGCGGUAAUACGUAGGUGGCAAGCGUUAUCCGGAUUUAUUGGGUGUAAAGGGCGUGUAGGCGGGAGCGCAAGUCAGAUGUGAAAACUCAGGGCUCAACCCUGAGCCUGCAUUUGAAACUGUGUUUCUUGAGUGCUGGAGAGGCAAUCGGAAUGCGGGGUGUAGCGGUGAAAUGCGUAGAUAUACGGAGGAACACCAGUGGCGAAGGCGGAUUGCUGGACAGUAACUGACGCUGAGGCGCGAAAGCGUGGGGAGCAAACAGGAUUAGAUACCCGUGUAGUC
rnacentral:rRNA from 1 species